GACGAACGCUGGCGGCAGGCCUAACACAUGCAAGUCGAACGCCGUAGCAAUACGGAGUGGCAGACGGGUGAGUAACGCGUGGAAACAUACCCCUCGGUUCGGAAUAACUCAGGGAAACUUGAGCUAAUACCGGAUACGUCCGAGGCUUUAAUCGGCCUUGGAGAAAGAUUUAUCGCCGGAGGAUUGGCCCGCGUCUGAUUAGCUUGUUGGUGAGGUAAUGGCUCACCAAGGCGACGAUCAGUAGCUGGUCUGAGAGGAUGAUCAGCCACAUUGGGACUGAGACACGGCCCAAACUCCUACGGGAGGCAGCAGUGGGGAAUAUUGGACAAUGGGCGAAAGCCUGAUCCAGCCAUGCCGCGUGAGUGAUGAAGGCCUUAGGGUUGUAAACCUCUUUCAGCUCCGACGAAGCGAGAGUGACGGUAGGAGCAGAAGAAGCACCGGCCAACUACGUGCCAGCCGCCGCGGUAAC
rnacentral:rRNA from 1 species